AUGGCGAAGAUCAAGCCGAGAGCACUGCUGGCACAGAGCAAGCAGAAGAAGAGCCCUACUAAAAUCGGCCCAACAAUGUUUGCCUUCAUCGUCGUUGGUGCCCUAGUGGUGUCCUCACUCUACGCAUACAGGUACUGGAUGAGCAAAGGACCAGCUGGAGCAGAAAGUGUUGCUGGGAACUAA
rnacentral:rRNA from 1 species